rnacentral:rRNA from 1 species
UACGUAGGGGGCGAGCGUUGUCCGGAUUUACUGGGCGUAAAGCGCGUGUAGGUGGGGAAGCAAGUCCGGUGGGAAAGCCCGCGGCUCAACCGCGGAAGUUCGCUGGAAACUGCUACUCUUGAGGGUGAUAGAGGGAAGUGGAAUUGCUGGUGUAGCGGUGAAAUGCGUAGAUAUCAGGAGGAACACCCAUUGCGAAGGCAGCUCGCUGGGACGUUACUGACGCUGAGACGCGAAAGCGUGGGGAGCAAACAGG